UGGGGUACAUCCAUUGAUAGAAUACUAGGCCUUCAAAUGCAACUUCUCCCGUAAGAUGCAUGGUGAGAUGCAUCAUAAUUAAAAAAUGAUAGUAAGAAUAUCUUCUCCAGAUUACAUAAAAUAGUCACCGUCCUUACCUUUAUUUCCUUCAUAUUUUUCUUAAGUAACCUCUUUGCACAAAUAUUUCUAUAAAAGUUGCAAAGACG
rnacentral:lncRNA from 1 species